CACAUAGAUUACAUAGGAACCCAAAAACAUUUGUUCAUUUCGACGAGGAAUUUGUUUAAGAAUUCAGUUUCAGCAACUAGUCAGACCAUUACACAAACAGAAACCGGAAGUAAAGUUCGGCCCAGACGCUUAUCGCGUCACCGCACGUGCGCCCGAUGAAAUGGUUUAUACUAAAUGAGAGGCAGUGGAGGAGUCAGCACUCACCCGUUGCCGCAGUAGUCAGAGGUCCAGUCCAAGCCCUGGGUCGGUCCAUUCCUGCAGCCAGUGCGGUAGUCCAUUGAAGGGGACAGACCGGGUCCGCCGGAGGAUGUGACAUUUACCAUGCUCUGAUACUCUGCCUGAAGAGGGAAACCCUGAGAGAGAGAGAGCACAAUAAAAGAUGUGAAUCAGAGCUUUUAUUUUUUUUAGGAGACUGGAACCAAUUUCAUUCCUCAUCAGUUUCUUAUGGAAGGUCAGAGUAUGGGAAAAUCAAACUGCGAAUGUGUAUUCUUUCCACACCCUGUGGUUUAAAUGCACUCACUACUCAGCACCAUGCUCAUUUUCGUCCCCUUUUAUGUUGGAGCUGCUGGAAUAUAUGGGGCCCCUAAAAUAUCUAUUAUAAAAACCUCUUGAACUGACAGAAAUGGAUAUAAUGCAUUUUUCAAAGUGCUAAUGCGGUUCUUAAACAUGAAAUAUUCCAGGGCUGCGUUUUAUCUCUGCAUUUGAUUUUUUCCAACAUCUAAAAAGCUUACGUGUUGUUAUCACUCAUAGUAAAGCUGUUUUAAUUUUAUUUGGGAUAAAUUGCCAUGCAAAAACGUGUAAAUACUCUACAAAACAAUAUGCUGAAGUAUAAUAAAACAUGGACUUACAAACACUGUAUUUUAAUCAUUAUUCAUGCAUUAUAUUGCAGUUUGUUACUCAAGUCAGUGUUUUUCAAACUUUUCCAGUGUGCAGCUCCCCUUGUGUUCAGUGCAUCCCCCCAAAGAAAAUUUAUGACAUAAAAC